rnacentral:lncRNA from 1 species
GAGGGGUCAGAGUUUGCUGCCCUGAGCCACCUCCAGGCUGACUGCAACCCACCCUCCUCAUGCUGUGGGGGGCCCUGGGCCGGCCGCUGUGCCUCAGUUUCCCCUGCAGAAAGACGGUGCCGUGGGAACUACCUCUGCAGGCCAGGAGGGCUGGGCUCCUGUGUGUCAACUGACCGCUGGCGGGACCCACUGGGUGCUCGGGGAUCAGCCGGAGGUCAGUGAAGACACUGACUUAGAAAGGUCCUGGGACGG